rnacentral:rRNA from 1 species
GAUGAACGCUGGCGGCGUGCUUAACACAUGCAAGUCGAACGAAGCACCUUGAUUUGAUUCUUCGGAUGAAGAUCUUGGUGACUGAGUGGCGGACGGGUGAGUAACGCGUGGGUAACCUGCCUCAUACAGGGGGAUAACAGUUAGAAAUGACUGCUAAUACCGCAUAAGACCACAGUACCGCAUGGUACAGGGGUAAAAACUCCGGUGGUAUGAGAUGGACCCGCGUCUGAUUAGGUAGUUGGUGGGGUAACGGCCUACCAAGCCGACGAUCAGUAGCCGACCUGAGAGGGUGACCGGCCACAUUGGGACUGGGACACGGCCCAAACUCCUACGGGAGGCAGCAGUGGGGAAUAUUGCACAAUGGGGGAAACCCUGAUGCAGCGACGCCGCGUGAGCGAUGAAGCAUUUCGGUAUGUAAAGCUCUAUCAGCAGGGAAGAAAAUGACGGUACCUGACUAAGAAGCACCGGCUAAAUACGUGCCAGCCGCCGCCGUAA